GGGAGAAUGGUGAGUGGGUGGCUCUUGCCAUUUUUAACAUUGGUCAGGGGGCAUUUACCACUGGCCAUGCCAAAGCUUGUAAGAAAGAGUGUUAUCAGCACUUUUUCAGCAGCAGCAAUUUUUCCUACUUGGGUGAAGAAUUUUGUACUCGGCAUCCAAAGUGUUCACGAGAGACACAUCCAGGAAAAACGACUUGUGACAGCCAUAUUAUUAAUUUGCUUUUCUGGCCUUUGACUCAACCGCUGUGUCCCAUCCUGUAUCCCAAAUUCACCAAGAAAAUUGAAGAGUGGUGCGCAUACUGUAUAUCAUUGUCUCACCCUUAUGUUGUUUUGUUUUGUAUCAUCCAGGUGGCUGUAGGAACACGACAAAAAGAAAUGUCGCUUGCAAACUCUUUCUUGCUGAGAAAAAUGUUUCGGAGGCGUUAUGUCCCUAAGGUGGAAGAGCUGAGGGCCCUUCGUCAAAUGAGGCAGCAGGCUUUUGCUGAGGUCCUGGCAAGAGCAAUGGAACGUGAAGUCCCUAAGGAGGAAACGCUGCAGGAACUUCCUGAAAGGAGACAGCAGGCUGUUGCUGAGGUUGCCGCAGGAGUACAGGAGAAAGAUGUCCCUAAGGAAGAAAAGCUGCGUGCCCUUCCUGAAAGGAAGCAGAAGGCUGUGGCUGAGGUGGCCGUAGGAGCACGGGAGAAAGGUGUCCCUAAGGAGGAAAAGCGGCGGCCCCUUCCUCUAAGGGCGCAGAAGGCUGUGGCUGAGGUCAUCAAAAGAGCAAUGAAAUAUGGUGUCACUGCGGAGAAAAAGCUGCAGUCCGUUAGAGUAAGGAGGCAAAAGACUGUUGCAGAGGUGGCCAUAGGAGCACGAGAAGAAGGUGUCCCUCAGGAGGAAAAUGUGUGGGCCGUUCCUGUCAGGAGACACCAAGGUGUUGCUGAGGUUGCCGCGGGAGAAACAGAAUAUGGUGUCCCUGAGGAGGAAAAGAUGUGGGCCGUUCCUGUCAGGAGACACCAAGGUGUUGCUGAGGUUGCCGCGGGAGAAACAGAAUAUGGUGUCCCUCAGGAGGAAAAUAUGUGGGCCGUUCCUGUCAGGAGGCAGCAGGAUGUUGCUGAGGUUGCCGCGGGAGAAACAGAAUAUGGUGUCCCUGAGGAGGAAAAGAUGUGGGCCGUUCCUGUCAGGAGGCAGCAGGAUGUUGCUGAGGUGGCCGCGGGAGCAACGAAAUACGGUGUCCCUGUGGAGGAAAAGAUGUGGGCUUUUCCUGUAAGGACACACCAGGCUGUUGGUGAGUUUCCUGUGGUCUCUGGAACCAUGGAGAAUGAUUGGGUGUUGGAGAGCCUGUCUGACUCUGGAACCGAUGAUGAAUAGUCAUCAGAUAGGGAACUGCACUCAGGUAGGAAUCAAUGGGAGAGGGUUUCUGGGAACAGCUGGCUUAUACCUGCUGCUUUGUAGACUUAGAGUGGGAGGUAUGAAAUCAGAAAGACAAAGCAAGGAUGUGCGAAGCCUUGUGUUGUUCUUUUAAUAUAAUAGCAGCGUCUUUUAAUAGAAUAGAUGUGUUCUCCCUCUGGGCUUUGAAUGUACUCUGUCUGUAACCAGCUUUUUAAAGUUUGUUUUUUUUUUAACCAAGUUGGUUAACAUAUAGUGUAAUAAUGGUUUCAGUAAUAGAAUUUAGUGAUUUAUCACUUCCAUAGAACACCCAGUGGUCAUCCGCACCAAGUGCCCUCCCUAAUGCUCAUCACCUAUUUAGUACAUCCCUCUACCCAACACCCUUCCAACAACUCUCAGUGUGUGAAGAGUUAAUCAGUCACUUAUGGACUGUCUCCAUCUCUGUUUUUACCUUAUUUUUCCUUCCAUUCUCCUAUGUUCAUCUGUUUUGUUAGAUUCCACACAUGAGUGAAAUCAUAUGAUAUUUGUCUUUCUCUGACUGACUUAAUUUGCUUACCAUAACACAUUCUAGUUGCAUCCACGUUGUUGCAAAAGGCAAGAUUUCAUUCUUUUGGAUCAUGGAAUGAUAUUCUAUUCUAUGUAGAUAGAUAGAUAGAUAGAUAGAUAGAUAGAUAUAGAUAGAUAGAGAUAUAAAAAUAGGUAUCUAUAUACAGACAGAUAUAUGUAUCUAUAUAUUCCUUAUCCAUUCAUCAGUCACUGGACACCUUGGCUCCUUCCAUAAUUUGGCUAUUAUUGACAGUGCCAUUAUAAACACUGGGGUGCAUGUGCCCCUUUGAGUCAGCACUCCUGUAUCCUUUGGAUAAAUAUCUAAUCAUGCAAUUGCUAGGACGUAGGGUAGCUCUCUUUUUACUUUUUUUGCAGACCUCCAUACUAUUUUCCGGAGUGGCUGCACUAGUUUGCAUUCCCACCAACAGGGCAAAAG
ensembl:lncRNA